AACGAACGCUGGCGGCAGGCCUAAUACAUGCAAGUCGAACGCACCGCAAGGUGAGUGGCAGACGGGUGAGUAACGCGUGGGAACCUUCCUAGUAGUACGGAAUAACUUCGGGAAACCAAAGCUAAUACCGUAUACGCCCUUCGGGGGAAAGAUUUAUCGCUAUUAGAUGGGCCCGCGUAGGAUUAGCUAGUUGGUGAGGUAAUGGCUCACCAAGGCUACGAUCCUUAGCUGGUCUGAGAGGAUGAUCAGCCACACUGGGACUGAGACACGGCCCAGACACCUACGGGAGGCAGCAGUAGGGAAUAUUGGACAAUGGGCGAAAGCCUGAUCCAGCCAUGCCGCGUGAGUGAAGAAGGCCUUAGGGUUGUAAAGCUCUUUUACCCGGGACGAUAAUGACUGUACCGGGAGAAUAAGCCCCGGCUAACUUCGUGCCAGCCGCCGCGGUAA
rnacentral:rRNA from 1 species